rnacentral:rRNA from 1 species
GACGAACGCUGGCGGCGUGCUUAACACAUGCAAGUCGAGCGGUAAGGCCUCUUCGGGGGUACACGAGCGGCGAACGGGUGAGUAACACGUGGGUGACCUGCCCUCAGCUCUGGGAUAAGCCUGGGAAACUGGGUCUAAUACCGGAUAUGACCACAUGUUGCAUGGUGUGUGGUGGAAAGUUUUUUCGGCUGGGGAUGGGCCCGCGGCCUAUCAGCUUGUUGGUGGGGUGAUGGCCUACCAAGGCGACGACGGGUAGCCGGCCUGAGAGGGCGACCGGCCACACUGGGACUGAGACACGGCCCAGACUCCUACGGGAGGCAGCAGUGGGGAAUAUUGCGCAACGGGCGGAAGCCUGACGCAGCGACGCCGCGUGGGGGAUGACGGCCUUCGGGUUGUAAACCUCUUUCGACCGGGACGAAGCGUAAGUGACGGUACCGGUAGAAGAAGCACCGGCCAACUACGUG